UUUUUCUUACUUUGUCUUGUAAUGAGUAGCAGACUGAACAAAUAUCUUGACGUUGUCUUUCUAAAGCUUGAUUGCAACCAAGACAAUAAGCCAUUGGCAAAGGAACUUGGGAUAAAAGUGGUGCCAACUUUCAAAAUUCUAAAGGAUAAGAAGGUCGUUAAAAAAGUAACUGGAGCAAAGUUUGAUGAUUUGGUUCAUGCCAUUGAUACUAAUGAUUGAAGUCAUCAGAUUGAAAGCUAAGCGAUUGUGUAGAUAGCCAGACGAUCGUUGAAGGUUGAAGACUGAGAAUGCGUUUAGAAUUUCUUAUUUAAGUCUUGUAUUAGGA